CUACGAUCAAUAAAUCAAUCAUCGUGACCUCUAACACUUCGUCUUCUCCGAUUGAAGAUCACAGAAACUCAGAUUUAAUCAACCCACUUCUAAACAAUCAAUUCUCAACUUUACUCCCCUCGAUCAAAACCCUCUUAAUGAAUUCGUUUUACCUCCCUCUUUUCAUCCUUCUUUAUAUAUUGUUUUUUUUUUCCUUUCUACAAACCAAAACCCUACAAACACUCUAAGCUCAAGCCAUGGCCAUGAAACCAAACGGCAAGUCACCAAAAAAAAACCUACAAACGCUCUAAGCUCAAGCCAUCGCCAUGAAACCAAACUGCAAGUCACCAAAAUAAGGGAGCAAUUAAUUUUUAAAUAUCGUAUAUAUAUAUAUAUAUUUUUUUUUUUUUUGUAAUAUGAAACCUAUUAGAGCUUCUUUAUGAUUUUGCGUUCCUGCUUUCUCCGGUCGAGGUCUGGUUAAAAGCAUGCUCAGGAAGAAUCCAGAACUCAGACCAAGCGCUUCUGAUCUUCUCAGACAUCCUCUGCUUCAGCCUUACAUUCAAAAGGUUCUUCUCAAGCUGAGCUACUGGGGGGGACGAUACAUUGCAACCAGAAUCUGAAUCCGCAAGGAGAAGCAGCUAUCCUCCUGAGCAAAGAAGGCGUUCUUCUGGCAAAUGUAUAAGCUUUGGUCCAAGAAGAGAAGGAAGAUUCUUUGUCUUCUGUUAAACCACUUCCUCUGGCAAGUUUAUAGUUGACCAGGAAAAUUCUUUGUCUUCUGUUAAACCAGUGCACACGUAUUUGCACCACCGCAUGCCAGUGGAUUUGUCUGCUAACAUCACUGGUAGAGUAACUGUUCGAAGACCAGCUGUUUCGAAAAAUUCAGGGGCUUCUUACAGAUCAGCCAGCCUAAGAGUGGUGGUCUGAAACAAGCUACAAACCAUUCGUAGAGCAUCCUUGCCUGUCUCACACAAACCUGCAAAAGGAACAAGAUACUCUCUCUACACCCCAAACAUCGGUAUACUCCAUCACCUAAACUCACCAGACGUAUCCGUAAACUCUCCAAUAAUCGACACUAUCAAGUUCGCACUAGCUUCAUAUGAAGAAAUGCCUUUCACUCCCGUUGUGCGCAAGAAGAAGAACAAAGGCUCCUCCAGAGGAUCCUACAGCCCACCUCCUCCAGAGGAGCUGCAGCAACCGCUAGACUGCUCAAUCACAAAAGACAAGUUCACCCUUGAGCCAGAACGAGAAACCAAGAGUGGCGGUGAUUUUUUCUGAUCAGAACGCGACUGCUGGAGGAGCGUCGGGCAGAGCUUCCUCAGGUGCAUCUGGUGACAGAGGUUUGACCCGCGGACAACGCGCUGAGGCGCUGAGGGAUUGCUUGAGUUCAUAGCGAGGUUGCUUCUAGAUGAGAGGUAUGAUGAGCUGAAUGUGUUGCUGAAGCCGUUUGGUCCGGGAAAGUGUCGCCUAGAGAAACAGCGAUAUGGUUGUCUAAGAGCUACUAGGUCACCACGAAACCCACUUACGCUACCGUCUAAUUCAUUUCUGGGAAGCUCCUGAGUUAUUUGUACAAUCAAAGAAUCAGUGUGGUGCGAUGCAUUUUUGGGAGGCCAAAAACAUUGCAAAAAUUGGCUUAGAGCUGCUAUGAUCAAGAUGGAGGUCGCUUCACAGGGUUCUCACGACGAAGUUAUUGCAUCCUAAUGAUUACGUUGUACCUAGGAGAUCGAUGUUGAGUUGGAGGCUAAAUAGAAGAAAUAUCUUCCCAGACAAAGACAUAAUUAAGAGUCAUGAAAUGAUGAAACUAAAGACUCAGCUUGCUUCACGAGAAAAUUUUAUGUCAAAUCUGCAAAAGCUCCUGCUAGAAUCGAAAAGAUAAAUUUGCUCCUUUGCACAUGUAAUAAUUUCAAUUAGCUUGGCAAGUCUGAUGUUUGGGUAAGAUUGUGUAUUCUUUAGUCUUUUUUUUUUCUUUUUGAAUUCUUAGAUAUCAUUGAUUACUGUUUUGGUUUUUAGGAGAAAGUUGUGGCUUCUGGAUCAACUAUUCAAGAAGCAUGUCUAUGGAGUGCGUGCUGGUGGUGAAAAGGUGUACAACGUGUUUCAUAACCAAUUUCUGGUGGCUCUGAAGAGAUUUCAAGUUGACAAGCAGGAACUGGUUCACAAGUCUGCUAAUGAGACAGUUAUGGCUUCAACAUAUACAAGAAUUAAAGCAAUACCCAUUGGCCAUAUUCGCCUCAUAAAUGGGGACAACCUAGACACUCAGACACCCAUGAGGUAUCCACAAUACCUGCUGGUGAAAGUCAAAGGAUUAUGUACUUACAUCUCCAACUUGAAGAAGGUGAGAGAUCCCGUAUUUAUCUGUGGUUCAAAAUCGCAGCCACCCUCCGAGGUAUAGAUGGAAAGAUGACGAGACGAGCCAAUCAGUGCUCUUGCUCACACUAUAAAUUCAAAAACACUAGGAGGUGUGUUCGUUUACUUGAAGAUACCAACUUUGUUUACUUCUGUGAUAUUUUCAUCUAAAGCAUUGAGGACUGUUAACUUGCGCUGGGUCGAAAAGCUUUUGUUGUUAUCUCAGAUCCGAUUGUUGCAAUGCAUGUCCUCCGAGAAAACGUUUCCUCAUCACAAGUGAAUUCUUGCUGAGAUCAAAGAGCUGGUUAUGAGGAAAGUGUUAGUACCAGUAGACCUUAGAUACUUAGAAGUUAAGAAGCAGAGCUGAAACUCAUGAUUCCCUACAUUGUAUAAUUUUAUCUAGAAGCUAUGGUCAAAAUAUUUAGUGCCUGUUCAGAGGAAAUAAUAAUGAAGUCUAAGAAACUCUUAAGAGAGAGAGAGAGAGAGAGCAGUCUCAAGCAGAGGGGACACCAUCAAAUUGGAUGUUAAAAUAAAAUUCUAAAGUCCCUUCACAUCGUAGGGCUAAGGUUUUUGAUUUUUGAAUGUACUCUUCACCAAGUUUUUAUAGUAAGCUGAUCCAUUCUUAAAUUUUUCUAUUACAUCACAUGCACUUUAUGAAAACUCUUUUUUGAGGCAGAACAUUCCUCUACUUUCUACUUCAUGUAUUGUGAUAUGGAAGUUUUCUCCAGCCA